GUUGAACGCUAACGACAUGCUUAACACAUGCAAGUCGAACGGCAGCACAGUAGUAGCAAUACUAUGGGUGGCGAGUGGCGGACGGGUGAGUAAUACAUAGGAAUCUGCCUUAUAGUGGGGGAUAACCCGGGGAAACUCGGGCUAAUACCGCAUAAUCUCUACGGAGCAAAGUGUGGGACCUUCGGGCCAUACGCUAAAAGAUGAGCCUAUGUCGGAUUAGCUAGUUGGUGGGGUAAAGGCCUACCAAGGCAACGAUCCGUAGCUGGUCUGAGAGGAUGAUCAGCCACACUGGGACUGAGACACGGCCCAGACUCCUACGGGAGGCAGCAGUGGGGAAUAUUGGACAAUGGGCGAAAGCCUGAUCCAGCAAUGCCGUGUGUGUGAAGAAGGCCUUCGGGUUGUAAAGCACUUUUAGUUGGGAAGAAAAGUUCAUGGCUAAUAUCCAUGAAUGCUGACGUUACCAACAGAAAAAGCACUGGCUAACUCUGUGCCAGCAGCCGCCGCGG
rnacentral:rRNA from 1 species